rnacentral:rRNA from 1 species
UACGUAGGCAGCGAGCGUUGUUCGGAUUUACUGGGCGUAAAGCGUGCGUAGGCGGUGUCUUAAGUUUGUUGUGAAAUCUCCCGGCUUAACCUGGGAACUGCAUCCGAUACUGGAUGGCUUGAAUCCGGGAGAGGGAUGCAGAAUUCCAGGUGUAGCGGUGAAAUGCGUAGAUAUCUGGAGGAAUACCGGUGGCGAAGGCGGCAUCCUGGACCGGCAUUGACGCUGAGGAGCGAAAGCUAGGGGAGCAAACGGG